CGUUCUGUGACUUAGAUGGUUUAAGCGCCGGUCUAGCGAAUACGGAGUCGUGGGUUUGAAUCCCACCAGAACGC
rnacentral:tRNA from 1 species